rnacentral:rRNA from 1 species
GACGAACGCUGGCGGCGUGCCUAAUACAUGCAAGUAGAACGCUGAAGGAGGAGCUUGCUUCUCUGGAUGAGUUGCGAACGGGUGAGUAACGCGUAGGUAACCUGCCUGGUAGCGGGGGAUAACUAUUGGAAACGAUAGCUAAUACCGCAUAAGAGUAGAUGUUGCAUGACAUUUGCUUAAAAGGUGCAAUUGCAUCACUACCAGAUGGACCUGCGUUGUAUUAGCUAGUUGGUGGGGUAACGGCUCACCAAGGCGACGAUACAUAGCCGACCUGAGAGGGUGAUCGGCCACACUGGGACUUGGACACGGCCCAGACUCCUACGGGAGGCAGCAGUAGGGAAUCUUCGGCAAUGGACGGAAGUCUGACCGAGCAACGCCGCGUGGGUGAAGAAGGUUUUCGGAUCGUAAAGCUCUGUUGUAAGAGAAGAACGAGUGUGAGAGUGGAAAGUUCACACUGUGACGGUAUCUUACCAGAAAGGGACGGCUAACUACGUG